AUAUAUUUUAAAUUAUACUGUUUAGGCUUCUAGGUUUCAGAUUAGCUCAGUCACCAGAAGCCUGUUCUUCUCCACUGGGGUUCUGCCAUGCAGGUGAGAGUAAUAAUCCACAGGGAUGUAUUUGAUUUAGAAAAAGUCAAGACUGUUAGUACAAAACAAAGAUUGGGGAUAUUAUUGGUUUACACCUAAGGAUUUCAACUAAAGAAUUUCAUUAGAUGUGCAGGAGAGAAAAAGUAGUAUCUUUUUCAUACCAAUUGCGAAGUUGACAAUUGGUGAUGUAAACCACUUUGUGCCUGGCCAGAGUAAUUAAAGUACUCAAACAUGUUAGCAAUGACUAUUAUUAUUUAUUAUUGAUAAAGAUUAUCUUGUGAAGGGACUUUUUCAAAAGUAUGACAGGUUACGCAGCUAACAUGUUAUCUGGUAGGCUAUAAAAUUUCCACUCUGAGAAAAUAUUUACAUCAUGAGCUACAGUGCUGCUUGCUGAAUAGGUCUGUCAUAUGAACUUUAUCAUCAUAUUUGAAAAUCCAGCUGUGGCACUUCUGUAAUCUUUGACUUUCUCUCUACUGAUCUUGUACUAACCUUAUGCAUUUUCUAGAGCCGAUAAAAAUAUUUAAAUUAAUGAAGGAGAGAGCUUCUGUUUUAAGAAAGCAUGUGUUUUCUCACCUUCCACAGCCCCCAUUUACAAUAAUAAAGAAAUAUGAAAGCUAUAAACCCACAUGAAAAAUAUGAGUGAGGGGCUAUCAGCAGACAUUUUGAGAAAUUUCUGGAAAAUAGAAAUUAGACAAACAACUAAGUGUUACCCAUGUAGCAGGAAGGAAAAAGUCAUCAGUUUUGAUAUGCCCAUUAAAAGAGCUGGAGCUGAGGAGGAAGCUGGUUUCCAGGCAGAAUUCUGGACUUCGUGGAUGAGCUUCACUGAAACAUCAGAGUACAGCAGGAAAAGGUAAGCACAGGAUCCAAGAAACAGAGAUUACACACAGGAGAGAGGCCAAGCAAAGCUCUGUGAUGAAAGGUAUGAAGUAUGCCCACGGAGCAGCCAGCUGAGACUGGAACAAGAGGAUGUAGCACUCCAUGCAGGAAAAUUCUAGAAAGGAAACACAAAAUUAUACAUUAAAAUAUGAUCUAAAUGCAUUGGCAGAAUGGGUAGAUAGGAAUUAGAGCAGUGUCAGAGUGCUAUUAAUAUUUCCUCCUCUUCCAUAAUAGGUACUCUGAAAAUAAUGCCUAAAGAAGACCAAGCAAACAAAGAGAAAUGACAAUCAUAUUAUUUAGAAAUAUGUUGUUAGAUACCAGAAUAAACAGCUAAAUGUUCAGAGUUUUUUUUUUUUUCUCAU
rnacentral:lncRNA from 10 species